rnacentral:SRP_RNA from 1 species
GCUAGGAUAGCACGCAUUUGUAAUUCAUGCUACCAGGAGGCUAAGGCUGGUGGAUUUCUUGACCUUGGAAGUUCUGAGGUGCAGAGGCUAAAUUGAUCAGGUAUCUACUCUGUCUGGCAUCAACAUGGUGAACCACCAGUUUGUGUAAGGAGGAGCAAACCAUCUUAGGUCAAAAAUGGAGCAGGUCAAAGUUCCCCUGCCAAUCAAUGAGAUCAGGCUGUGAGGAUCUCUUGUUAUUCCAAGUCUAAGUGAGAUAGGGAGACCCAGUCUUC